GGAUGUGAGGGCAAUGCGGCCACGACAUCUGCCACCCCAUUGAUCACCAGGGUUGUUUCGGCUGAUCUGGCUGGCUAGGCGGGUGUGCCCGUCCUCCCUCACCACUCCACGUGCGUCCCUCCUGAAGCUGCACGCUCGGUUGAAGAGGACAACCUUCCCCAGUGGUGGAGGACCGUUCUUCAGUCAAGGGUACACAAGUAGCUGCGCUCCCUUGCUAGAACCUCCAAACAAGCUCACAGAACAUGUAUUGUUGUUUUGUGUGCACACAUUUUUAAUUUACUGAAGUGAUAUCAUAAUUCUUGUUCUGUUCUCUACU
rnacentral:snRNA from 1 species